rnacentral:tRNA from 1 species
GAAAUAACCCCAAAGAAUAAGCUUCUAACUUAAUUCUUAAGCAAGAAUAUUGUUUUUAUUUCU